UUUUUCUCCCAACUUUUUCUCUCCUUUUCUCUCUAGCUUGGCCAAACCUCUCACCCCUUUCUCUCUAACUUUUUUUUCACAAAAUUUCUCAUAUAACUCUCUCAAUCUCUCAUCUCUAUUCAUUUCCAAACACUAUCCCAUUUCCCCUUGUAGUUUCUAAGAGCUAGAAGAAGAAGCUUCAAAGAUGAAAACUUUAAAAGGAAAGUCCUAAGCCUUUGUUAGUUUUGUUAUUCCUUUCUCUAGUUUUUUCUUCCCAUUUAUUAGAGUACAUUGAUCUAAUUUUUGGAUCUUUGGGGAGUAUAAAUAUGAAUUUUGGAGGUUUGAUUCAAAGGCUAGAGGUGUAGAGACAUCACAAACCAUUCAAAGAGAUUACAAGAGAUAAGGGCAAAGAAAAGCUAGGACACUAAACGUCGGGGCUGCUUGCGAAGAUGUACAUGUGGCCUGACCUUUGGGGAGUCUACACUUUUGAAAUGCUAUUUUUAAUUACGUUCAAACUAUUUUGGUUCACUGCAGGACUUUUAUGUUUAAAAUGUAAAUAUUUUUAGUGUGUGCACACAUUAUGUUUAAAAAAAAUAUAUGGAUUUUUGAGACCUUUUAAAUUAUGAAAAUGGUUAAUUUCUACAAAAUUAGUGCUAGUAUUUUUGGCCCGUUAUAGGCACGAGGCUCAUAUGAUGAGCCACAGCCUCAUCAGCGGAGUGGGCAUCGUUAAGUGAAGCGGGCUUGUCUAGCGCAACACUAACUCGAAGGCCCACGGGGUGUGAUGGCCUUGCGAGGCAUUACUGUGUGGGUGAGGUGCGAUGGCCUCACAAGGCGUUGAGUAGCGCGCAAGGCGUUAUUGUGUGGGCAAGGCGCGAUGGCCUUGCAAGGUCCCGAGUAGCUCACAUGGCGCUAUGGUGUGGGUGCGGCAUGAUUGGUGCAAUCUUGUGGAUUGAAUCACCACACCAAAUACCCCUUUCCAUAACACAUGAAUAUAAUACUAAUAAAAAAGUAUUAUGAAAAAGUAUUAUAUGGGGCAACUUAAUGAAAAAGGGCGGUAAUUUGUUUAGUCAUCCCGCCACUUUGCUUUUUUUUUCAGAUUUCCUUCAACAUUUCUUCAACAAAGAAUAGAGACCCAUUUCCUUCAACAUUUCGACACAAAGAACUGAGACCCAUUUCUUCGGCUUGGUACGGUCUCCAAAUUCCUCUCUCUCUCAAAUCUCCUCCAUCCCUCAAAUCUCCUCUCUCUCUCUCUCUCUCUCUCUCUCUCAAUCUGUUUCCAGUCGUUGGGCUUCUUGGAUUCGUUCUUCUCUUUGGUCUUGGCAAGCCAGAUUGCUGGGGUUUUUUCAAUCCGAGGCCUCAGUCUAUCAGUCUCAUUUCAAGAAGACCUAAAGCACUUCCUUUCCCCUGCUUUGACUUUAAAACGUUUUUGGUUGAGUUUUAUGUGUUUUGUCUUUUUCGGAUAUGAUUAGAGUAGAGUUUUAUCUUAUGGUUAAAUUCUUGGCAAAAUGCCUCCGUUGUUUAAUGUUCAUUUUGUUGCAAUUUCACUUCAGGGCUUGGUUUGAGGAGCUACGAAAGAAGCGAAUGGCAGAGUUGAGGCAGGCUUUAGAGCAUUCAAAAGACUCAAUAGGGUAUUGAUUAUAUUAUUUUUGUUGUGGAUCGAAUUGGCAAGGAGCAUUGCAAAUUUAAUUAACUUUAUUAUUAAUAGCAAGAGGAAAUCUAAGUUCUUGAACAUAAGGUUUUUGGAGUGUUCCAAAGUCCCAAAUCUGUUCUCAUAUCCUGGUACUUUUGGAAAAUAGCUUUGGUGGCGGGAAAGGUUCUUGGUAGUUUGGGCAUGUGUAUUGAGGCGGAAUGGAAUCGAAGGGCCGAGAGUUCGAUUCGAUGAUGAAGUUUCUUUACUUAUGGUUUAUAUGUAUUUUUCCGCAUUUUACUAUGUAAUCAAUUAUGUUGUGUUUUUCUUUUAAAACAAUGGGAUCCCAUAUCCUACUUAAAGUUUUAUAUAGUUUAAACAUUUGUUUUUACAAGUUUUUAAUGAAGUAAUAUUUAUUUC